rnacentral:rRNA from 1 species
CGAGCUUGCUCGCGAAGCAACUGGAAGGGGUCCCAGGAAAAGCCUCUAAGCUUCAGUUCAGAGCGACCGUACCGCAAACCGACACUGGUGCGCGAGAUGAGUAUUCUCAGGCGCUUGAGAGAACUCGGGGAGAAGGAACUCGGCAAAUUGACACCGUAACUUCGGAAGAAGGUGUGCCUUUGUAGUUUUGAGUGUGAACAACACGAGGACGAAGAGGUUGCAAAAAAUCGGUGGCUGCGACUGUUUACCAAAACACAGCACUCUGCAAACACGAAAGUGGACGUAUAGGGUGUGACGCCUGCCCGGUGCCGGAAGGUUAAAUGAUGGGGUGCAAGCUCUUGAUUGAAGCCCCGGUAAACGGCGGCCGUAACGAUAACGGUCCUAAGGUAGCGAAAUUCCUUGUCGGGUAAGUUCCGACCUGCACGAAUGGCGUAACGAUGGCCACACUGUCUCCUCCCGAGACUCAGCGAAGUUGAAAUGUUUGUGAUGAUGCAAUCUACCCGCGGCUAGACGGAAAGACCCCAUGAACCUUUACUGUAGC